rnacentral:rRNA from 1 species
UUUAUCAAAGAGUUUGAUCCUGGCUCAGGAUGAACGCUGGCGGCGUGCUUAACACAUGCAAGUCGAACGGGAAACCUUUUAUUGAAGCUUCGGCAGAUUUAGAUUGUUUCUAGUGGCGGACGGGUGAGUAACGCGUGGGUAACCUGCCUUAUACAGGGGAAUAACAGUCAGAAAUGACUGCUAAUACCGCAUAAGCGCACAGAGCUGCAUGGCUCGGUGUGAAAAACUCCGGUGGUAUAAGAUGGACCCGCGUUGGAUUAGCUGGUUGGUGAGGUAACGGCCCACCAAGGCGACGAUCCAUAGCCGGCCUGAGAGGGUGAACGGCCACAUUGG